CCUGAGUCUGUGGAGGGAGAGCACACUCCCAGGCAUCAACUCACAUGACGCAGAUUUGAUGCUUGUGGAUAGGCAGCAAGGAACAACAGGAGUUUGUGGGAGCUGCUUCCUCGAGACUCAGAAAGCUGCCGGGGUGGAUGGAGCUUUGACUGUGUGUGCCCCCGUUGUGCUGUAGAUGAGGGACCCUGAAAUGCAGCCCACACUGGGUUUUACACCACGGGGGAACAUGAUGCAAGGAGCUCCAGAAUUGAAGGACGUCCCGUUUCUAGGGGAGGGUGGGAACAGAGCCUGAGAAUUCCAGCCUGCUCACCCUUAUCUCAGAGUGUUGCAUUCCCAGGACAUCUUCCAAGGCCACCUGGAGAGCUGUCCUGCAGUGACACACCUCAGCUUACCCAGCGUAGAAGAGCCCAAGGGUGGUGCUUCAGCACCCUAGGAAAUGUGCCAGCAAGGUCUACAGUAUCAGCAACUUUACCUCUCCCUCCCAGAGCUUUCUGGAGUGCUUAGCAGAAGACAGAGGACUCUAAAGUGUGAAUGUGGAAUGGAAAUUGAGGCCACCGGCAACGGCUGCGUCGAAGAGUAACUUGCGAACGCAUAGGGAUUCACAGGAUAGAUAUUGUCUGGAUAUCAGGGCGAAAUGUUAAUUAGGGAUCAAAAUGUCCUUUUAAAUUAGCUAUGUUGAAGAGAAAGGAGAAGACCAGGAAACAGAAGAAAGAUAUCGUUAUGUGGUAUUUUGGAAUAAAUAUUUAUAGAAAACAAUGAUCUGUUUGUUUAAAAACUACCGAUCUAAAAUGCUGCCCCGUCUCAUCCCUUCUUCCUGCUUUAUUUUCCUUCUCACUGUUUAUUCCCUGACAUGUUGUAAACUAACUUAUUUAUCUUGCAAAUGUUUCCUACUAGAAUGUAAGGCCCAUGAGGGCGGACGUUUUGCCUCAUUCUCUUUGGAACAGUGGACACACAGGGACUUACACAAAAAUCUGUUGAAUGAAUGAAUGUACGCUUCCAUACAUUGUAUUGGAACCUUUUCAUAUCUUUACAAACUUGUAGCAAAUCAACCAAACGUUAUUAGAAGGCCUAUUGUUUCUGUACACAUUCAAAGUAGUUCCUUAAAGUGUUCAGUGUUUUUUACCAGUUUAUUUUCAUGAAACUUUUUUAAAACACACGUCUUAAGGAUCAUACCGUGUUUUUUGAUGCUGCAGUUUUCCGUGUAUCUAAUUACAGGACUGUUUCCAAUACUCUCCCUGGUUCUGCAUUUCCUCAGCCACCAUGAGCACAUUCUAUUCUAUGGUCAUUGGAUCGGCAUUUUAAAUCCUGUUUGGCAGAAAGAGAGUCUCAUGUUUAGGUCCAAGAUGUAAUGGAUCUCUCUAAAGGACAGCAUGACAUUUCCUGUGUAAAACAACUAAAAUCCAGAAUCCACUUCCUGGUCAAUAUCGUGGGGACUACCUAAGCAGCAUGUGAGAACACACACACACACACACACACACACACACCACACACAACAGAAAAGUGAGUGAUAAUCGAUUUUAAGGACUAACUCUGGAGCCAGACUAACUGGGCUCUGAUUACAGCUCUGAUUACAGCUCUGGUGGUAACUAGCUUUACGAUCUUGGGCACAUUAUUUAACCUCUUGUCCCUCAGUUGCUUCAUCUGUAAAACCGAGAUAACAAUUGCAAUUAUCUCAUAAAAUUAUUGGAAGGAGUUAAUGAAUUAGUAUCAGUAAAGUGAUUGGAACAAUUCCUGGCAUAUAAUAAGCUCCACAUAUAUGCUAUAUAAAUGCUAGUUAAAUAACUAGUUAAACACACAAUGAAAUGUAAUAAAAGAAAAUAAAAUUAAAGAUAAUAUAUUACCAAUUGGGUAGAUGGCAACAGAGAGAAUGAAGACAAAGAUGAAUAAUCAGAGAUCUCUUCUACCUGGAGAGAUAUUCCAUUAUAUGACAUGGUGGCAACUUGAGUGUGUAUAUAUAUAUAUAUAUAAUUCCCACAUUUAAGAAAAAAAGGUAUUCAAACAAAAAUCUGUACCCAUUCGAAUUUUGCAUAAAGAGAACCAUGAUGAGAAGGAAUUACUGUACUUUGGUGUGCUCAUAAAAUUAUUAUAUAUUUAUAAUGAUUUUUAAAAAUAUGGACUUUAGAUGACUAAUUUCUUAAUAUUGUACCUGUACAGAGACAUUUGGAGAAACAAAUUAAACCUUUAUAGAUAACCUUAAAUAUCUGAAUAUGUAUAGAGUUGAAUGAUGGGACAAUUGAGGGAAGGGGUAGACAGACAUUAGGAAAAACAAAUUAAACCUUUAUAGAUAACCUUAAAUAUCUGAACACAUGUCUAGUUGAAUGAUGGGACAAUGGAGGAAAGGGUGUAGUGAGCAUAGUUUGAAUGAUGGACAAUGGAAGGAAGGGGUGUAGUGAGCAUAGUCAGUUGGAAUGAUAGAUAAUGGAAGGAAGGGUGUAGUAAGCAUAGUCAGUUUGAAUGAUGGACAAUGAUAGGAAAGGUGUAGUGAGCAUAGUCAGUUUGAAUGAUGGACAAUGGAAGGAAGGGUGUAGUGAGCAUAGUCAGUUUGAAUGAUGGACAAUGAUAGGAAGGGUGUAGUGAGCAUAGUCAGUUUGAAUGAUGGACAAUGGAGGGAAGGGGUGUAGUGAGCAUAGUCAGUUAUGGAAGGAAGGGGUGUAGCGAGCAUAGUCGGUUUGAAUGAUGGACAAUGGAGGGAAGGGGUGUAGUGAGCAUAGUUUGAAUGAUGGACAACGGAGGGAAGGGGUGUAGUGAGCAUAGUUUGAAUGAUGGACAAUGGAAGGAAGGGUGUAGUGAGCAUAGUCAGUUUGGAUGAUGGACAAUGGAAGGAAGGGUGUAGUAAGCAUAGUCAGUUUGCAUUUGAAAGUGAUGCUGAAGUCCUCGUCAUUGGGAUGCCAGAGGGAUCUGGGUCACAAAACAUACAGAAACAUUUGUUUGUGAGUGUUGCGUGCAUUUGCACAUUUUUCAUGGGGAAAAGUCCAUCUGAUGAUCAAAAAAGUGUGUGUCCCAGCAAAGGUGCAGAAAUUAUUAUCAUUUGAUUUUCUGGUUAAUAGUAUGUGAAAGUAUUUUAAAGACAAUCUACUACUCAUCAUUUCAAUAAGAGAUAAUCUAAAAAUUACCCAUCUUGUAUGAAACAAAGAAAAGAAUCAGAGAAAUUAUAUAUUUAUUAUUCCUUAAAUGUUAUUUUUCUUCCUUUUACUUCUCUUCUAUAUUCACUGUUGCGGCAUUAUAUUGAUUUUUGUUUUCUUUUUGUAAUUUGGAAAGCAGCUAUGUUCACUAUUAUAUAAACAAUGCUUGAGAGUUUUCUUAUGUUGUUAUUAAAGUUGGUGUUCAGGUAAAUUACAUUAUCUAAUGAUUUCAUUUCAAGGUAAAACACAAACAGUUUUAUGUCUUAAAGAGGGCCUUGGUCUGAUAGGAAUGAGAACCACUCUGCCAUGCCCUAUGCGAACAAUUCUAAUUGAGUAAAAUCUAAUACUUUGCAAACUGUCCCAAGAGAGCUUACUGAUUUUACGGCAGAAGAAAAAGUUUCUAUGUAGAACUCUAUGUUUGAGAGGAGGAGAGGGGCUACAGCUAAGUAUAGAGAAAAAACAAGGUUCCAUAAUCAAGAAAGAAAAAGGUGGAAUCUGAGUCUGUCUUUUUCGUCUUUACCUCUGUGUGUGUAUGUUCUAUACCAUCAUGUCUCAUUUUUCUUUAUCUCUUAAAGGGCAAUGUGUGCACACAGCAGGCAUAUAUGUGUUAAUUGAUUCAUACUCCACACAAUCCCCAUUUCUCUUGUUCUUAUCCCGACCACAAUGGAGUUCAAUAGAGCUAACAAUGGAAAAGAUAAUGAGUGGGUCUAAAUUCAAUCCCCUUUUGUUUAAGCUAAUCUCCCUCUCUAAUUAAUGGCUGUUCAUACCAUUAUUGCUCACGAAUCUGGCGACAGUUCUCUGCAUCGGCGCAGGAAGCACUCUGUGAAAUCAUGUUGUCAAAGGGGACAGCAUAGUCCAGCUCCCAUUGCACCCUUGGUGACUUUUGGCCUAAUGAAAAAGGUGUGUGGAACAUGGAAACCAGAAGGAGCCCUCUCCUGUUAGUGCAGAGCUCCUGCUCCUGGGUUGCAUUCUAGCUUUCGUCACACAUUUUAAAAUCCAAAUGUAAGAAUGAUGUACCUUUGAAAAGACAGUGGGUUACAAUGAGGGACUGAAGGAGUGGGCAGGGUCAAGUAGGGAGGGAAGAGAGAGAAGGCACAAGAGGAGCUGUGAGGAAAUAUCUCCCAGCCUCCAUCCUCACCCUCCCUGAGCUUCCGCAGGGCUGAGGCUUCCUCUGCUGAGCUUGCGCACUUGGAGAAGCCCCCUCUGGGUGGUGAUUUCUGUGCUGCAGUUGACUCCCACAGUUUGACACACACACGCACACACACACUCAAAGUCUGCAAAGGCACCAGCAGCAGUACAUACAUGCUUUCCUAAUAGAAUGCUGCUUUUAAUAAACAGGCAGCCUCUUACUCUUUUAGUUUUUGUGGACUUCAUUGUUUAAAACUGUAAAUAAACAAAGAACUCUGGAUUCCUCAUCCAUACUAUUAAGUGUUAGUGUUUCCUUUACUGGAAGCCUUCAACGUAUCAGAAACUGUGCAGGGCGAUAGGGUACACAGAGGCCAAAGCCAAGGCUACUGCUUUGCGGGAACUCUCAAGCCAGGUGCUUAGAGACGGCUGUGUAUUGCGGACCUCAGCCACGGAGGGCUGAAUUUCACAGAAAUCUUGGUAUAUAUUUGUCACAUGUGUUGCUUAAUUAACAUUUCCAAAUAGUAAUUUUAGUCACCUCUAGAAUAAUCCAAUUAUACGUACAGUCACGUGUCACUUAAUGAAGGGAAUACGUUCUGAGAAAUGCAUCCUUAGGUGAUUUUGCCACUGUGUGAACAUCAUAGAGUGCACUCAUACAAACCCAGACGGCGCAGCCUCCUCCACACCCGGGCCACAUGGUACAGCCUGUUGCUCCCGGGAUACACACCUGCCCAGCAGGGGACGCUACUGAACACUGCAGGCAGCUGGAACACAAUGGUACGUAUUUAUGUAUCUAAACAUAAUAAACAGAGAAAAGGUACAGUAAAAACAUGGUAUAAAAAGUGGAAAAUGGUACACUUCUAUAGGGCGCUUAACCACGAAUGGAGCUAGCAGGACUGGAAGUUGCUGGGGUGAGUCUCUGAGUGAAUGGCGAGUGGAUGUGGAGGCCUGGGACGCUAUUGUACACCCCUUUAUAAACACUAGACACUCAUGCUACACUAAAUUUAUAAGAAAUACUUUUUCUUUCUUCAAUAAUGAUUAACCUUUGCUUACUGUAAUGUCAAACUUUUUAAUUACAAAAAUGACUCGUAAUUACACUUAGCUUAAAAUGCAAACACAUUGUACAGCUGUACAAAAAUAUUUUCUUUCUUUAUAUCUUUAUUCUUUCAGCCUUUUUGUAUUUAAUUUUUUUUUUGACUCUGUAAACUAGCUCAUCAUAAACAAAGUCACAAACACCUACACUAGCCUAGGCCUACACAGGGUCGGGACCAUCAAUAGCACUGCCUUCCACCUCCACAUAUUGUCCCACUGGAAGGUCUUCAGGGUGAUAACAUGCAUGGAGCUGUCACAGUGCAUGUGAAUAUGCACCACUCAUACUGUGGGUGAAAAUGCUUUCCUAGGGCUAUACACUAACCUUUACACUCAAAUGCAGUAAGUUGUGUUAGCUGUAUUGUUGAGCGCAGGGCUUGGGGACAGGGUUACAAAGCACAGACACUUGUGGGUUUUGAUCAUAUGCAUCCGGAAAAAUACAAUCACUUAUUUGGGUAGACAGGUAUUAUUUGUGUAUUUUCCUUUUAUAAACACUUAUCAAAUGCCUACUCUUUGCUAUUAUGUUGGUUUUGGUGAUAGAAACCAUAUGGUCCCAUCUUCGAAGAGUUUUCAGUCUAGGAGGGGAGGCAGCUUCACGAACAGUGAUUGCCGCAGAAUGUGGUCAGUACAUCGUCACGCAUCCAGGCACCACCACGGCGUGAUGCGGGGAGCGAGGAGCCAUGAAGUCAGGCAAAAGCAUGGAAAGAAAGAUCUUCGAAAAGGAGGGGGCCUGCAAAAGAACUGAAACAUGAAAAGCCGUUGAAACAAAACUGACAGGCAAUAUGGUCAAGUUCCUGAUGACCCAAAUGAUCACUCAUUCAGGCAGCUUGGCUCACCAAGAACAGACCUGGGGGCGGCCUGGGAGCGGGUAUCAGACUGCCACAGGUUAACAUAGAGAAGCGAGGUGAUGCUGGAUGCAGUGGGUCACGCCUGUAAUUCCAGCAUGUUGGGAAGCCAAGGCAGGAGGAUCACUUGAGGCCAGGAAUUGCAGACCAGCCUGGGCAACACAGUGUGAUGUCGUCACUCCAAAAAAUAAAUAAAAGAUUAGCUGGAUGUGGUGGUACGUGCCUGUGGUCCCACCUGCUUGGGAGGCUGAGGUGGGAGGAUCAUUUCAGCCCAGGAGUCCCAGGCUGCAGUGAGCCAUCAUCACGCUACUGCACCCCAGCCUGGGCGGCAAAACAAGACCCCCUACCUACAAAAAAAGAAAGAAGAGAAAAGUGAGGUCAUGCAGUGCAGGGGGCUUCCUGCAAUCCUAGAUCUUCAUGACUCCUGGCGCUUCUGUUGUCAGGACACUCAUUAAAACCCACCCCAUGAGCCUCUUUUUCUACCACCGUCGCCCCCUAUGAGUUUCCUUUUAUGCUACCAUCUGCCACGAUAAGCCUCUUCUUUCCACCAUCACACCCGUGAGCUUCUUGAGCUCAGGGACAUGUCUCAUUUGACUUGGCACCUAUGUUUGCUAUUACGAUACUGUGUAUUUAUAAGGCACCACAAUGUAUGAUUGUUACAUCAAUAAAUCAUCAGCAAACCUUGAAGAUUUAAUUGGGAAAAAAAUCAGCUUUUGUGGCAAGUCAAGAGUCCACAGGAGGCAGCUACUGGGGUCGGUGCUGUUGAGACUGCAAGGCCUGAGGAGCUGGAACCGUGACAGAUUGGAAACAGCACCUCCUCCUACCACAGGCUUUAUUCACAAGUAUAAUUUAUUUUUUCUGUGUAGGAGCUUGAGGGAUUUCAGAGCAUGACAUCGAGUAAAUGUAUUUUACAUGUUAUUCCUUCCUUGGCAUCAUGGUUUGAGCCAUUCAAAUAUCUUCAUAAUCAAAAGCAUAAUAAAUUAUGACUAAAACGGUGUACCUGUGAAAACGUCCCUCGCACUCUCCCCAGUUGGAGGCUGUGCUUUUACGGUCGCAGACAGCAGGGCUGUUUGUGAGAGCAGCAGGGCUCUGCGGCUGGAGCUGAGUCAGAAGACGCCUGGCCUGCACUGCGGAGGUGCGGAGACCACAGAGGUCGGCGUGGCUCCAUCACAGCUAGAGGAUUCUGGGACAUAAUAUCCGCUCUGGACUGAAUGGUUAAGUCCCUCCCAAAUUCAUGUUAAAACUCUAAUCCCCAGGAAGACAGUAUUAGGAGGCACGGCCUUUGGAAGGCGAUUAGGCCAGGAAGGGCUUAUUGCCCUUAUAAAGGAGAGGGCUCCUGUCCCCUUCAGCCACGGGAGGCCACAGUGAGAAGGCGCCAUCCAGAAGCCCGGACAGUAGCCCUCACCAGAUGCCAAAUCUCCCUGCACCUUGACCUUGGACUCCUUCACCUCCACAACUGUGAGAAAUAAAUCCUUCAUUGCUUAUAAGCCA
rnacentral:lncRNA from 1 species